AACCAGAUGGGUUUUUCACGAAGAUGGUUAUAAUUGACUCAAUCCAGCAACUCUUAGCACAUUUUACUCUUUUUCUUUUCUUUUCUUUUUUUUUUUUUUUUUCAGUAGGCGGCAUACUGAAACACACUGAUGCUUUUUUCUUUAAACAGGUGUUAAUAUUUCUGGAAUGAAAACCUUAUCUUUAAGGACCCAUGACCAGGAAAUGAAGAUGAGUUGUUCUUGUGACAAAGAAAGAGAUAAAUCUGUGCUUCUGGAAAACAUCUUUCACUAGCUUUAUUGUAACAAGGUGUGAUUGUUGCUUGGAGUUCUCAGGGUUAUCCCAGCACACAACAGCCUGCAUUCUCAGCUAACUCCAUAUCAUAGAAAAUCUGUUCCCAUGAGCUCAGCAAAUGUUUGCAUGGUGGACUGGCAUAGACUAUAAGCCAAGAGCAAUAUGGGGAAGGGAGCAGCACUGAGCCAUGAAGAAAUGCAAAGUACUCUGUGUAUGAGAGCCAACACAGCUGCUGGAACCAUAAGAUGUAAAUGUAACGAGCGAGGAGCAGCCCUAGAAUACACCCAGAGGAGCUUUCAGAUCGGAUUUGACCCCGCAGAGUGCCGGACCACGCGUUGCUGCAUUACUGUGUCUCCCAGCUGGAGAUGCCUGCUGCUUAUCUCCAGAACAACAUUAUUGAAAUGAAGCACACAGGUUAAUACAAAUUAAUUACUUCAGCAAAGGCUGCCAGCUUUGCAUUCCCAGAAGCAGAACCUUCUGACCUGAGUUUUUCAGUGAGUUACAGAAGAGAUAUGAGAACAAACAAUGUUGCAGGAGUGAACUCAAAUAGCAUCCAACUCGUAUCACUGCACAGUGAGGAUCCUUUCCAGGCUGUGCUGGGACAUUCCUAGGAUGAGCUUGCUCAGUAUAGUCUCACUCUGCCCAGAAUAAUUCUACUGCUCUAAAAAUACAGCCUAUUUCUAUAGGCUUCGACAAAGGAUGAACU
rnacentral:lncRNA from 1 species